rnacentral:sRNA from 1 species
GAUAGAGAAGCAGAGGCUAAGAACCUCGCAUCCUGUGAAAAUGCUUGUGCGACCAACAUCGUGUUGA